rnacentral:lncRNA from 1 species
UCGUUUUUAUCCGGUUCGGAAGCAUCCUUUGUGAGUUAUUGCUUUUGUAAAAAAUAAAAGAAUGACCAUCCUUGAUCUGAGACCAAGUGGUGAAUACUUGCAACCCUAUAAAAAUUCCACCGUUGGAUAUAAAUACAAUGAAGAUUGAUGAGAACAGGGAGAAUAAACGGACACUAUGUAUGUGAAUAGAUACAGCUGGUGUUCUCACAAGAAAAAACGACUCUCAGAUAUGGGAGAAAACAACUAUCAGCAAGGAAAGAGAGCAAGAAUGACGACAGACUCACAAUCAACUAAAUGUAAGAAGUCUCUCUCUCCAGAUAAGUCUUCCUUGGGCCAUGCUACAUUACAACAUUUUGAUAUCUGCCCUCCUUUCCCUCUUUUAUUUAAUAUAUGAAAAAUUUGAGGGUCUCAUUUUCAAUUAUUGUGCUUUUUUUUUUUAAUAAACAUUUGUUCUGUUAUAGAAAAG